AACGUAGGACACAAGCGUUAUCCGGAGUUACUGGGCGUAAAGCGCGCGUAGGCGGUCUGUUAAGUGCACGAGUGAAAGCUCCGGGCUCAACCCGGAAAUUGCUCUGCAUACUGGCAGGCUGGAGGGACGCAGAGGUCUGUGGAAUUCCUGGUGUAACGGUGAAAUGUGUUGAUAUCAGGAGGAACACCCAUGGCGAAGGCAGCAGACUGGGCGUUUCCUGACGCUGAGGCGCGAAAGCGUGGGUAGCAAACAGG
rnacentral:rRNA from 1 species